rnacentral:rRNA from 1 species
ACACCUAAAUUUAUAUCUUAAUCCAACAUCGAGGUCGCAAUCUUUUUUAUCAAUAUGAACUCUCCAAAAAAAUUACGCUGUUAUCCCUAAAGUAACUUAAUUUUUUAAUCAUUAAAAAUGGAUCAUUUAUUCAUAAAUUAAUGUUUUAAAUUUUAAAAGUUAUUUAAAUUUUAAUAUCACCCCAAUAAAAUAUAAUUAUUUAUUAUAAUAAAAUUAAUCUAUAAAAUUAAAAUAAAUAAUUAUAUAAAGAUUUAUAGGGUCUUCUCGUCUUUUAAUUAAAUUUUAGCUUUUUGACUAAAAAAUAAAAUUUUAUUAUAAUUUUAAAUGAAACAGUUAAUACUUCGUCCAACCAUUCAUUCUAGCCUUCAAUUAAAAGACUAAUGAUUAUGCUACCUUUGCACAGUUAAAAUACUGCGGCCAUUUAAAUAUUCAGU